rnacentral:lncRNA from 1 species
AGCUCUUGAGCUCGGGCGUUCGGCCCGGAGCGCGGGCUGUGGCUGUGGCGGCUCGCGGGGGUCAGUACCUAGUCCCUGAAAAUGGCUUCCCUGGAUGUUUGAGGGACCAGGAGCCCCUAAUGCCGCGAUGCUCAGCGCGCCUUCAGUCAGAGGGAGCCUCGAGGGCGGCGGCAGCGCUGGCGGAGCCGGCUGGACGCCGCCGGUUAAAGCCGCUCAGCGUCGCCCAGGCCAAGCCCGGGCUUCGUAGACGGCUCACAGAAACAGGGACAACUGACGGGAGCUCUCACCCCUCGAACAAGUGACAAAAGCGAUCACUCCGCAUAGAAGACGCACUUAAUUAAAGGUUCCUUUCGCCUCGGUGCAUCAAUGAGUUCCUUCAUUUAAACAUAAAAGGGAAGAUCACCAGCCGAAGGUGGGGCUACAGUAAGGGGUA